AAGAUGCUACUCAGCCCUGAGGAGGCUGAGGGAGCUAAGGGUUGAGUAGUACAGAGCUCUGUCACUUACUCGCUGUGUCACCUCUGGCAAGUGGCUCAGCUGUGAGUGGCUUUUGCUUCCCUCCUCUCUGAAACAAGCAAGGAGCCCUUCCAUGUGUCUCUGUGUGCUGUUGGGAUGGAAGUGAGCCAACAGUCAGCACUCAGUCAGUGUCAUUCUGGAGUGAUGGUUAGAGUCUGACGUUCUCAACGAGGACGAGGGUGGCUUUGUUCUGAAAUGCGCUCUGGUCUUGACCAGACUGUGCCUGGAACACUCUGCGGAAAGUCAAGGACGUUAGGCAGGGCCACACUGUGGACUGCUGGGAUCAGACCAGAUGAUCGUCGAAGAGCCCAAGCUACUGACCACCAAGGAACAAGAUGUGGGUGCAGUGGCAAAUUGUUGUACUGUGACUUUCUGUAUCUGGCUGAGACCCAUCCACUUUACCACUCUGCCACGAACAGUGUAUCCUCCCAGGCCCAGUAAAUGGGAGGACAGAGACUCAUCUCCAAGGGGCUCAUGUCCGUCAAUCCUGAAGGAGCACUUUUGGGUGACAAUGUAAUUAGUAUAAUUACAACACUAUUAAAUCUUGAUCUUCCUGCUUUUGUUCUUCCCUUCCUCUAUAUCCCCUCCCCCUUUCUUCCUGUCUUUUUUUUUUGUUUGUUUGUUUCAACACCAGGCUUCACAUAACCCCAGCUGGCUGCAAACUCACUGUGUAGCCCCAUGUGAUGUCCCUGAACUCUUUGAUCCUUUAAGCUCCACCUCCAAAUACUGGGAUUGCAGGACUCACAGAAGGAGCUCAUGGACUGUAGUCUCAUCUCUCAACUCCUCCUAACACUGGUGAAUGCUGCUGUGUGUCUUCACUUGGAAGUCAUUUUGACUAUUUCAAAAGUGGCAUUUGUAAGGACAGAGGACGCUUUGUCAUGUUUCCUCUCGGGUUUCAGGAGUUUGAGGCUGGAGCACUAGGCUGAUUCAGUGAGGGGGUUUCAUGUAGCCCAGGGUAGCCUCAAAAUCACUCUGCAGCUGAGGAUGACCACCUGAGUGCCAGGAUUAUAGCCAUGUGUUUGCACGGUCCUGGGGACUGAACCGGCAGGGGGUCAUGUGUUCUGGCCAAGCACUCUACUGACUGAGCCAUGUCUGUGAGCCCCAGUGAUGGACAGAUCUGGAAACUAGCUCCAAGGACGGUAUGGCAUGGGUGUGUCUCAUGAGCACCUUGUAGGAGCCAUGUCUGGAGAGCAGCACGCCCAGUCCUCUGUGCUGGGGUCAGAAUGGAGGGGAACACUGUCUCCUCUGUUCUCGACCGACUCAUCAACAGGACAAACGAGGGGUUCACGUCGUUCCGCAGUCACUUGUGUGACCCACCCACAUGCCACAUCUCUCCUGCACAGCCUGUGUUUCUAGGUGUUAUGGUGACCGUUUCCAGAAGGGAGAAACACGCCAAAUGGAAACGCUGUGUCUGGUCUCAGGCCGUAUGCGACCCUCACGUUCAUCCUCUGCCCUCCUCCUAAGGGUGGCGUGGCAUGGCGUGACUCCCCCUCACCUGGACAGCUGCUAACAGGGCAGGACACGACUUCGAAUCCGUCCCAUCCCACAGAAUCCCGUUCGAGCAGGCUUCCUUGUUCCCGCCUUGUGUUUAGAAGGCUCCUUCUUGGUCCUCAGUGAGUGGCGUGUCAAUAAGCAAGUCAGAGAUUCCUUCGCUACCUUCCACACCUUUACUCACUUGGUCCUCCUCACAGGCCUCUCCGGCAGACGCUGCAGUCCUUGUGUACGACAAGGAAACCGAGGCAGGGUGCGAUAUGGCUAGUUUCUGCAGCCCUGCUUCUCUGUGGGAGAUCUGUGCUGAGUAGUGUCAUUGUCAAUGCUGAGGGGCUAACUUGGUGAUGGCUCCUGGAUCUCUUCGUUUCCUAUUCUGCUUUCCCGUCCCCCAUUGUCUCCCCACAGACCCCAGCUGGGAAGCAUGUGGGCAGAUGUUUGAAGAAUGACUGAAGGGGAGAGCCGGGGCUUUUAUGAACUUCAGACUGUGAACUCUCAAGGAAGAGUGAGUCAGGCGUCCACAUUCCUGGCAUACCUUCAGGAGGUUCCAUGACCUCAGACAAUAAGAACCUGAGGCCCAGUGUCCUUGGGAGGCCUCCCACGAGGAAGGCUGACCUGGAGAAUUUACCUCUCUGGUACUUCGUCCUGAUCCUGAACUCUGCACUGCUCAGGACUCCAUCUUGUCAGACCCCCUAGGCCCACCCAGACAGCUUCCUUGUUUCUGUUAAGCUGCCCCCACACACCCCUACCAUCCUCCAAUACCUGAACUGCCUUUCCCUGGGCCAAGCUCAGUGUGUCCUUUAAGGAGCUGAGGACAUAUAGCCUCCUCUGGCUCCUCCAGAAGGAAGCAGGGUCCCUGAACGCUAGCUUCCAUGGGGCUCUCCUUGGCCAUGCCUCUCAUUGCCAAACGCUUGCGCUGGGAAGGACUUGAUUUUAGUAAGUUGGGCCUACACAUGAUUUAACUCUUUGAGACCAGCAACAGCUCUGGCAUGGAGGAGGGGCAGCCUAGUGCCAGAGAUGGAGGUACUGCCCUGCCCCUGAAGUACAAGAACCAUUCACCCAGGGCACCAUUCUCAGAGUGUAGGUCUGGGUGUGUUAGUGGAUUUAAAUAUGACAGACAAAGCUUUCUCCAUGGCUCCUGGCUCUCAUCAGCUCUCUCUUUUUCCCCCUCACCAACUUUCACCCUAGGUGAGAGAGACAGACAGACCGAGGGAGAGAGAGAGGGCGAGAGACAGAGAGAGGAGAGACAGAUAGACAGAGAGAGAGGGAGAGAGAGAGAGAGAGACAGAGAGGAAGAGAGACAGACAGACAAAGAAAGGAACUUGCCCAAGGUAACAAAGCUAGAAAAGUCUGAGAUAGUUGUUACAGUUUUGUUUCGCCAUGCCCCACCACUUCACCAAGUCAGAAAUAUGCCUAUUUGGAUUUGAAUUAUUGCAAGUAAAUUCUGUGCUCAUCUCUCUGUGGUGCCUUCUAUUUCCUUUAAUUUGAGGUCUGUGUAGGGCACCCUGGACAUGCCACCCCACUCUCUGCAUCACCUUCACAGUUCACGAAGAGGCUGGGCUGGAGACAAGGCUGAGCUCUGGCUCUGUGACGCCUGCUUAGUCCUACUGUCCUGUGUCAACAGCAUAGACAUUGCCCCAUGACCAAUGGAACUCGCCCCAGUCUCUGUUUCCCCAAGUCACAGCUGCCACCCAGGAGUUUCGCCCUCCAGGAAGCAGGAAAGAGUGUGGGUUGGUGCAGGUGCACCUGCCUGCCGUGCAGGCCACUGGGGGAGGUGGAUUGGAGUUACCCACUGGAUCUGAAAUCUGCCUGCACUCUCUGCCCACGGUCCCCAUCCCCACCCUUUGCAUGCCCGCUGGGGCCCUUUGCCUUAUUCUGGCUGACAGGUGAGGGCCGACCGAGGAAGCUUGGUCCUACCUAACCAGAGCUGCCCUGACUCCCCGUGCAGCAC
rnacentral:lncRNA from 1 species